GACGAACGCUGGCGGCGUGCUUAACACAUGCAAGUCGAACGGAAAGGCCCUGCUUUUGUGGGGUGCUCGAGUGGCGAACGGGUGAGUAACACGCGAGUAACCUGCCCUUGACUUUGGGAUAACUUCAGGAAACUGGGGCUAAUACCGGAUAGGAGCUCCUGCUGCAUGGUGGGGGUUGGAAAGUUUUGGCGGUUGGGGAUGGACUCGCGGCUUAUCAGCUUGUUGGUGGGGUAGUGGCUUACCAAGGCUUUGACGGGUAGCCGGCCUGAGAGGGUGACCGGCCACAUUGGGACUGAGAUACGGCCCAGACUCCUACGGGAGGCAGCAGUGGGGAAUAUUGCACAAUGGGCGGAAGCCUGAUGCAGCAACGCCGCGUGCGGGAUGACGGCCUUCGGGUUGUAAACCGCUUUCGCCUGUGACGAAGCGUGAGUGACGGUAAUGGGUAAAGAAGCACCGGCUAACUACGUG
rnacentral:rRNA from 1 species